GUCACGAGGGUUUCCAACCAAAGACAUGCACGCCUCGUGCCUUCUUUUGUCAAUCCUUAGGUAUCAUAAAUCUCUCUCUCUCUCUCUCUCUCUCUCUCUCUCUCUCUCUCUCUCUCUCUCUCUCUCUGUGGGAAGGUUUCUUUUAAAGGCUUUCCAGCAAAGAGCUAAGACGCUUCAUCACUCCUUCGAUUCCUCAUUUCUGGGUUUGGUCUCUCUGGGGACUGGUCUCGUGGGCAUACAUGUGUGUUGGUUUGAGAGGUUGAAGCUGCCAGCAUGAUCUGGUAAUUAACUCAUAAUUUAAAACCUGUUUCUCGUUUUUGUUCCCCCUUUCCUCUCUUUCAAUUUAGUCUUUCCAUCUGAAUAUAUACUUGCAAAGUCUGGAUUUCUAAGCUUAUCUAUAGAUGGAUAGUUUGAAUUCAUGUUAUUUUUGAAAAUGAUUUUUUUUUGGUCGAUCCAGCGACGUUGCACGAAUCCUUGCUUUUAGGAUCGGUUAGAGUUGAGAAUCAUACCGAUUCAUUUCGAUUCGAUCAAGUGAACUUGAUUGACUAUAGUCUAUUAUGCAUAGAACAAAGGUAUGGCUAACUUGGUGUAAAAAGAUUUAACUUAGGUUGAAUCAAGCAAAGGAUGCACGGAUCGCAUCCGAGGUCUCGCGAUGCAAUCAUGUCGCAUCUUAAAUGGGUUUACAUACUCCCAAGCUUGCAUAGUUUUGGUUUUUUCGAAAAUACAUGAGAAUGCCCAUCCUGUGUGUUCUUCAAGUUUCAAGGGUUUCAAUUUUUACUCACACAAACAUACUUUUACCUAGCAAACUAGGUCAAGAAACUUGUCCCAAAAUUAGCUACAUUAAGAUGCAAUUAAAGGGCGACAUAUCAGGUCAUCUUGCAGCUUCAAUCACUCAUUCACCAACAAAAAGGGGACUCCUUGUUCAAUGGCUUGUCUCCCCCAAUACUUCUUAGCCCAGGUAAUUCUCUGUUAUUUCCCCCUAAAAUUCACUAUAUUUUUAGCCAAUGAUAGUGAUGACAUUCUUUUAUCAUUGACCAAUAUGCCUCAUUUUCUUGGGUUCAUUUGAAUUUGAUGGUAUUGGAUGAUCUCGGUCAUACAAUCCAAAAUAUCCAAAAAGAAAAUUCUCCUGUCCACAUAAUUGAAAAGAAAACAAAAACAAAAACUAGGGGACAUGGAAGGCCACAUACGGUAUGAGAAAUUGACAAUACAUGUGCGGAUACGCCAAUCAAAGUCAAUGCUUUGUUUGUGUUCUUUUCCCUUUUCCCCAUGUAAAUAAUACCUAAUUCACACAUCUCCAGAUAUCACACAUGAACACGGCAUAUUCUCUCUCUCUCUCUCUCUCUCUCGGUCUUGUAGUGUCAAUUGUUUUUUGUCUGUCUUGGGGGUGUGUGUACUGGGGAAUCGACAUGUAAAACAAAAUCACCAGACACAAGAAAGGCAAAGCAAAUGCAUGCUUGUGAAUA